rnacentral:rRNA from 1 species
GAGUUUGAUCCUGGCUCAGAUUGAACGCUGGCGGCAUGCCUUACACAUGCAAGUCGAACGGCAGCAUGAUCUAGCUUGCUAGAUUGAUGGCGAGUGGCGAACGGGUGAGUAAUACAUCGGAACGUGCCCUGUAGUGGGGAUAACUAGUCGAAAGAUUAGCUAAUACCGCAUACGACCUGAGGGUGAAAGUGAGGGACCGCAAGGCCUCAUGCUAUAGGAGCGGCCGAUGUCUGAUUAGCUAGUUGGUGGGGUAAAGGCCCACCAAGGCGACGAUCAGUAGCUGGUCUGAGAGGACGAUCAGCCACACUGGGACUGAGACACGGCCCAGACUCCUACGGGAGGCAGCAGUGGGGAAUUUUGGACAAUGGGCGAAAGCCUGAUCCAGCAAUGCCGCGUGUGUGAA